rnacentral:pre_miRNA from 1 species
AGUGGGAUAGCUGGGUCAAAUGGUGUUCCAUUCCCAGUUUUCUAAGGAAUCUCCAUACUUCUUUCCAUAGUGGUUGCAACCAUUUGCAGUUUCACCAGCAAU